AGGACACUUUUCCUGGAAAGCCCCUGGAGC
rnacentral:piRNA from 1 species